rnacentral:misc_RNA from 1 species
AGCGAUGAUAUAGAGCACACCAAUGCGUACAAAUCCAAACUCUCGCUCCAGCCGAAUGCCAAUCACUAGAAGACUCAGCAUGUUGGCCAGUAAAUGAAAAACACCACCAUGCAACCACAUGCAAGUAAAAAGACGCCAUCCUUGAUGUUCGCGGACCACCUUAUUCACAUCUAGAGCACCCAUCUUCUCUAGCGUGGUAGAAGAAGGCCCAAGAAGAGGAUUUUCACUGAAUGGCUGAAACGAAAACCUACCCAAAAAUCCAGCAUAACAAGAAA